rnacentral:rRNA from 1 species
GCAGUAGCCACGGUAAUACAGAGGGUGCAAGCGUUAAUCGGAAUUACUGGGCGUAAAGCGCGCGUAGGUGGUUUGUUAAGUUGGAUGUGAAAGCCCCGGGCUCAACCUGGGAACUGCAUCCAAAACUGGCAAGCUAGAGUACGGUAGAGGGUGGUGGAAUUUCCUGUGUAGCGGUGAAAUGCGUAGAUAUAGGAAGGAACACCAGUGGCGAAGGCGACCACCUGGACUGAUACUGACACUGAGGUGCGAAAGCGUGGGGAGCAAACAGGAUUAGAUACCCCAGUAGUCCCUGUCUCUUAUAA